rnacentral:rRNA from 2 species
AGAGUUUGAUCAUGGCUCAGAUUGAACGCUGGCGGCAGGCCUAACACAUGCAAGUCGAACGGUAACAGGAAUCAGCUUGCUGAUUCGCUGACGAGUGGCGGACGGGUGAGUAAUGUCUGGGAAACUGCCUGAUGGAGGGGGAUAACUACUGGAAACGGUAGCUAAUACCGCAUAAUGUCGCAAGACCAAAGAGGGGGACCUUCGGGCCUCUUGCCAUCGGAUGUGCCCAGAUGGGAUUAGCUAGUAGGUGGGGUAACGGCUCACCAAGGCGACGAUCCCUAGCUGGUCUGAGAGGAUGACCAGCCACACUGGAACUGAGACACGGUCCAGACUCCUACGGGAGGCAGCAGUGGGGAAUAUUGCACAAUGGGCGCAAGCCUGAUGCAGCCAUGCCGCGUGUAUGAAGAAGGCCUUCGGGUUGUAAAGUACUUUCAGCGGGGAGGAAGGGAGUAAAGUUAAUACCUUUGCUCAUUGACGUUAUCCGCAGAAGAAGCACCGGCUAACUCCGUGCCAGCAGCCGCGGUAAUACGGAGGGUGCAAGCGUUAAUCGGAAUUACUGGGCGUAAAGCGCACGCAGGCGGUUUGUUAAGUCAGAUGUGAAAUCCCCGGGCUCAACCUGGGAACUGCAUCUGAUACUGGCAAGCUUGAGUCUCGUAGAGGGGGGUAGAAUUCCAGGUGUAGCGGUGAAAUGCGUAGAGAUCUGGAGGAAUACCGGUGGCGAAGGCGGCCCCCUGGACGAAGACUGACGCUCAGGUGCGAAAGCGUGGGGAGCAAACAGGAUUAGAUACCCUGGUAGUCCACGCCGUAAACGAUGUCGACUUGGAGGUUGUGCCCUUGAGGCGUGGCUUCCGGAGCUAACGCGUUAAGUCGACCGCCUGGGGAGUACGGCCGCAAGGUUAAAACUCAAAUGAAUUGACGGGGGCCCGCACAAGCGGUGGAGCAUGUGGUUUAAUUCGAUGCAACGCGAAGAACCUUACCUGGUCUUGACAUCCACGGAAGUUUUCAGAGAUGAGAAUGUGCCUUCGGGAACCGUGAGACAGGUGCUGCAUGGCUGUCGUCAGCUCGUGUUGUGAAAUGUUGGGUUAAGUCCCGCAACGAGCGCAACCCUUAUCCUUUGUUGCCAGCGGUCCGGCCGGGAACUCAAAGGAGACUGCCAGUGAUAAACUGGAGGAAGGUGGGGACGACGUCAAGUCAUCAUGGCCCUUACGACCAGGGCUACACACGUGCUACAAUGGCGCAUACAAAGAGAAGCGACCUCGCGAGAGCAAGCGGACCUCAUAAAGUGCGUCGUAGUCCGGAUUGGAGUCUGCAACUCGACUCCAUGAAGUCGGAAUCGCUAGUAAUCGUGGAUCAGAAUGCCACGGUGAAUACGUUCCCGGGCCUUGUACACACCGCCCGUCACACCAUGGGAGUGGGUUGCAAAAGAAGUAGGUAGCUUAACCUUCGGGAGGGCGCUUACCACUUUGUGAUUCAUGACUGGGGUGAAGUCGUAACAAGGUAACCGUAGGGGAACCUGCGGUUG